rnacentral:rRNA from 1 species
UGAGGAAUAUUGCACAAUGGGCGAAAGCCUGAUGCAGCGACGCCGCGUGGGUGAAGAAGGUCUUCGGAUCGUAAAGCCCUUUUCUGCGUGACGAGGAAGGACGGUAGCGCAGGAAUAAGUCUCGGCUAACUACGUGCCAGCAGCCGCGGUAAAACGUAGGAGACAAACGUUAUCCGGAGUUACUGGGCGUAAAGGGCGUGCAGGCGGUUUCUUAAGUUCGUCGUGAAAUCGCCCGGCUGAACCGGGCGGGGUCGAUGGAUACUGGGGAACUAGCGGGCGGUAGAGGCGUGUGGAAUUCCGGGUGUAGUGGUGAAAUGCGUAGAUAUCCGGAGGAACGCCAGUGGCGAAGGCGACACGCUGGGCCGUACCUGACGCUAAGACGCGACAGCAUGGGGAGCGAACG